GACGAACGCUGGCGGCGUGCCUAAUACAUGCAAGUUGAGCGCUGAAGGUUGGUACUUGUACCAACUGGAUGAGCAGCGAACGGGUGAGUAACGCGUGGGGAAUCUGCCUUUGAGCGGGGGACAACAUUUGGAAACGAAUGCUAAUACCGCAUAAAAACUUUAAACACAAGUUUUAAGUUUGAAAGAUGCAAUUGCAUCACUCAAAGAUGAUCCCGCGUUGUAUUAGCUAGUUGGUGAGGUAAAGGCUCACCAAGGCGAUGAUACAUAGCCGACCUGAGAGGGUGAUCGGCCACAGUGGGACUGAGACACGGCCCAAACUCCUACGGGAGGCAGCAGUAGGGAAUCUUCGGCAAUGGACGAAAGUCUGACCGAGCAACGCCGCGUGAGUGAAGAAGGUUUUCGGAUCGUAAAACUCGGUUGGUAGAGAAGAACGCUGGUGAGAGUGGAAAGCUCAUCAAGUGACGGUAACUACCCAGAAAGGGACGGCUAACUACGUG
rnacentral:rRNA from 1 species